rnacentral:rRNA from 1 species
AUUGAACGCUGGCGGCAGGCUUAACACAUGCAAGUCGAGCGAGCGGCGGACGGGUGAGUAAUGUCUGGGAAACUGCCUGAUGGAGGGGGAUAACUACUGGAAACGGUAGCUAAUACCGCAUACCAUCAGAUGUGCCCAGAUGGGAUGAGCUAGUAGGGGGGGUAAUCGCUCACCUAGGCGACGAUCCCUAGCUGGUCUGAGAGGAUGACCAGCCACCCUGGAGCGGAGACACGGUCCAGACUCCUACGGGAGGCAGCAGUGGGGAAUAUUGGACAAGGGGCGCAAGCCUGAUGCAGCCAUGCCGCGUGUGUGAAGAAGGCCUUCGGGGUGUAAAGCACUUUCAGCGAGUAGGCGUUACUCGCAGAAGAAGCACCGGCUAACUCCGUGCCAGCAGCCGCGGUAAUUC